GAAGGUAUAGCUCAGUGGUAGAGUGUGUGCUUAGCAUGUAUGAGGUCCUGGGUUCAAUCCCAAGUACCUCCA
rnacentral:tRNA from 1 species